AGAGUUGAUCAUGGCUCAGGACGAACGCUGGCGGCGUGCUUAACACAUGCAAGUCGAACGGGGAUAACGGAGAGGAGAGCUUCGGCAGGAAUCGCUGUUAUUCGAGUGGCGGACGGGUGAGUAACGCGUGAGCAACCUGUCCCAGACAGGGGGAUAACACUUGGAAACAGGUGCUAAUACCGCAUAAGACCACGGGAUCGCAUGGUUCUGGGGUAAAAGGAGAAAUCCGGUUUGGGGUGGGCUCGCGUCCGAUUAGCCAGUUGGCGGGGUAACGGCCCACCAAAGCGACGAUCGGUAGCCGACCUGAGAGGGUGAUCGGCCACAUUGGAACUGAGAGACGGUCCAAACUCCUACGGGAGGCAGCAGUGGGGAAUAUUGGGCAAUGGGCGAAAGCCUGAACCCCAGCAACGCCGCGUGAGUGAAGAAGGCCUUCGGGUUGUAAAGCUCUGUUAUAGUUGACGAAGUGCGUGACGGUAGGCUAUAAGGAAGCCCCGGCUAACUACGUGCCAGCCGCAGC
rnacentral:rRNA from 1 species